AGCGAUUCUCCUGCCUCAGCUUCCCAAGCAGUUGGAACUACAGGUCUACGAACAACUGACAUGACAGAUAUAGAAGACAGAAAAAUUGUACUGACCUGAGCCAAUACCUAAAGUAAAUGGUUUCAAAUCUGACUUGACAUAGCUGAGAACAUAAUUUUCCUCCAACUUUAUUAAGGAAUACCACAGAAGUGAUGUGUUCUCAGUCACUAUAUCAAGAGGGACAUGAUACUGAUUUUUCCCAUCAAUGCUCUCAUUUAUCUUAUUGACAUCACUUGGAAAAGUUUUCAACAUUGACAAGAGAAGAAGAGAGUCAAAGGCUCACUUGGGAUGAUGUUAAGGGCAGGCCUGGAAGAAGCACACAUCACUUUCACCCGUGUUCCACUGGCCAGACCCUAGCCACUUGACCCCCAUCUAACUGCAGGGGAGGCUGGGAAAUGUAUACGAGCUUGUACAUAUUUGGUGAGUGUUGUUUCUGUCAUAGACUGUUAAAUUAGUCAGAUGAAUGUUUAUUGCAAACAGUGUGCAUGGGACUUUUCUAGGCACAGGGCUGAAUAUGAAGAUGAAUAAGUCACGGCUUCUUCACCCAAGUGGAUCAUAAUCCAGCACUCAUUGUAGACUAUAGCUUAUAUUUAGUUUUAGAUUCUCAAAACAAAUUCAUUGCCUAUUCUUAGUGUUAUGAGACUAAUAACUAUUUUUUAAAACAGCCAAGCAAUUUAUAUCUACCAUCUGUAUCGGUUAGAAUUUAGGCAAGAAACAGAUGGCACAUUCAAAUUAGGUAAUUUGAAGAGAGCUAAAUAAAGGGACUGUGUAAAGGUGUGGGCUGGACCUAGAAGGGAAACUACAAUGUAUAGGAAACCACCACAAAUGCAAUACUGGAAGGAUGACAACAGCAUGUCUUUGCCAUUUCCAGUGCUGAAACAGUGAGGGGGAAGAAGUGGUUUCUGGGAUGUAGAGACAGAGUUGUGACCUUGGGCCAGUGGGAAUAGCCUUCUUCCCAUUUGACCUUGCAAGAAGAGAGCCAACAAAAUAAAUUACCUAAUGUUACUGUCCUUGUUCCUUCUGGUCUCCUGUAGGUAUUGCCUAUUAGCUGAAUCCCACUGGAAGCCAGAGGGCAAGGGAGCCUGUUGAUGUAAUUUAUGUAGGUUACCUUUCUGGGCCAGGGGUCAGAAAGGUUGAUCUUUGAUCUGGAGAAGCAAAUAGCACACCAUCCUAAAAUGUUUUUCAUCUAUUUGGCCAAUAUGGAGGCCCUGCUAAUUGCAAAGCUCUAAAUAGUAUAAGACAUACACAAAAGACAUGUCUUUUUUUUCAGGGAUCUUGCUCUCCAGUGUGGGAGAAGAGACCACCAACAAAAACAAAAUUUAAAGAUAAGUCUCUGGAAGAUUUGUGUUUAGGCAGUGAUUGGGUGCCACAUGGACUGUUAGAUGAAGUGAAAGUUGUAUCGUUCAAAAAAAGGAAGAGAUUCAUGUGCACACAAAUUGUUAGGGAAGGCUUUGUAGAAAAAACAAAACUUGAACUUGGCUAUAAAGGGUUGACGGUUUUUGUAGAUAGAGAGGAGGGCAGUCACACAUGUGUAUAACUGGCUCAAAGUACAAUGAGUGUAGAGUCUAGAUGAAGGUGGAAACUCAUACAAAGUUAGAGAUUUUUGAAAUAAUUUGAGGUCAGACUUUAGAAGGUCAUAAGGAGAAAUCUCAGGGUUUGUGCUUUUUAAAAACUGUCCUAAUGUUCUGGGAGAGUUUACAAGGUGCCAUGUGGUAAAAGUGUCCAUGCAAUGAAAUAAAUUUAUAAAAUGCAUACUUUCCAACCCUUGGAUGUAUGCAAUGAGUAUUCAACUUAUUAAAAGCUCCAAAAAAGCUUGCUAUAAAGAAACCACUUUUUCCAUUUAUCUACACUUGGCGAAAGAACCCAUCCCCUUUCCCCUACUCCCUUUUAAAAAUCAAAACACGCUAAAAAUCAUAUGAAACUUCAGUAUUCUAUAAAACAUAUUUUGGGAAAUGUUUCUAUAAAUAAUGGGAAGCCUUUGAAUAGUUCUGAAGGAGUUAUGAUACAAUUAGAGGGGUAUUUUAGGGUAUCAUUCUGACAAGAUGGAUUUUAGUGCACAUGAUCAUUUAAGAACAAUUGUUAUUGCAGUAAUACAGGCACAUGGUGCAAGUCUGAAGUGAAGGGUAGUAGUUGAGCUGCAAAAAAUGCAGACUUGUGAGGGCCAUUAGGAAAGACCUGACAGCAUGACUUGGUGGUUGAUUGAAUAUGGGUGAUGGGAGGGACUGAAUAUGGGUGAUGAGAGGAAGGGA